AUUGAACGCUGGCGGCAUGCUUUACACAUGCAAGUCGAACGGCAGCGCGGGCUUUGGCCUGGCGGCGAGUGGCGAACGGGUGAGUAAUACAUCGGAACGUGCCCAGUAGUGGGGGAUAGCUCGGCGAAAGCCGGAUUAAUACCGCAUACGACCUGAGGGUGAAAGCGGGGGAUCUUCGGACCUCGCGCUAUUGGAGCGGCCGAUGGCAGAUUAGCUAGUUGGUGGGGUAAAGGCCUACCAAGGCGACGAUCUGUAGCUGGUCUGAGAGGACGACCAGCCACACUGGGACUGAGACACGGCCCAGACUCCUACGGGAGGCAGCAGUGGGGAAUUUUGGACAAUGGGCGAAGGCCUGAUCCAGCAAUGCCGCGUGUGUGAUGAAGGCCUUCGGGUUGUAAAGCACUUUUGGCGGGAACGAAAAGGACUGUGCCAAUACCACGGUUCGAUGACGGUACCCGCAGAAUAAGCACCGGCUAACUACGUG
rnacentral:rRNA from 1 species